UGUCUCAGUUCGGAUUGGAGGCUGAAACCCGCCUCCAUGAAGUUGGAUUCGCUAGUAAUCGCGCAUCAGCCAUGGCGCGGUGAAUACGUUCCCGGGCCUUGUACACACCGCCCGUCAAGCCAUGGAAGCUGGGGGUGCCUGAAGUUCGUGACCGGAAGGAGCGACCUAGGGCAAAACCGGUGACUGGGGCUAAGUCGUAACAAGGUACC
rnacentral:rRNA from 1 species